rnacentral:tRNA from 1 species
UCUUUGCUGAGUCAGUAGAGCAUGAGACUCUUAAUCUCAGGGUUGUAGGUUUGAGUCCCAUGUUGGGCAAAA